CGGCUCCCCACACGCACAUUGUUUAUCAACAAUCGAACGGGCGCGCUCGUUCAUUGACACUUCAAAAGGAGUUGUUUUCUCGAAAUAUUCCUCUGGAAGGGUUGAUCACAGUAAGCGCUGUCCUUGUGGAUACUGACCAAUUUGUAGAAAUACGGUGAAGGUUUAGAAUUAAAGCACCCUAUUCUUCUAGUGACGUCAUUGGGUAAUGUUGUGAAAUAAAGCGGCACCUUCUUAAUUGCGAUAAGCACUUCUAGAAACGGUUAAAGGUACUUCUACACACUAUGGAAAAGCACAGACAACAACAUGGCGGAAGGAUCUACAUCCAGAACCUUUACACCACAAAUCCCUUCAAAAUCAGAAAACUCCUCCAAGAUGUUCAAAGGAAUUGUUGUGACUCAUCUACAACCUUCAAGGGCAAGAAACGUAGUUGAUCAAUGAAUCAAAGUCUACCAUAUCUACGUUACAUGACUUUAUCCUUCAAAAAGCCCUUGAAAGACGACGCCACUUGACCGAGAGUCAUUCCAGCCUCUCUUUUAGCCUUCCAGGAGUAUAGAAAUUCACGCGAAAACACGAAAAAGGACCCAUUUUCGAUGAAGAUCUAGUUCACUUGAGG